CAUAUUUAAACUUAAUUAGUAAAGUAGUUCUUUUACAUAGAAUCAAUAUUGUGCAAUUCAAUUUUAUAUGA
rnacentral:tRNA from 1 species